ACUCAACUCUUCGCUUUCCAUUCUCUUUGUUUCUUGGAUAUUUUCACUCUUUCUGGGUAUUCGAUAAAUUUUUAAAAUUUCUCUUUUGGGUAUGUUUUUGUUGAAAUAUUUGAUCAAGAAACUAUAUCGAUCAUUCAUUUUUUGGGUAAUUUAAUGGUUGUUUUUUGCUUUAUAUUUGGGUGGUGCUUGAAUUUAUUGUUUAUACAAGAAAAAUAGAAUGAUCCAGCAAUAUGGAAGUCAAAGUGCUAGCUCGAGCUCGCAUUCGAAUAGCAGUUCGCAGGAUACAGAGGAUGAUCAUACAAUUGCAGAAAUAUUAGCAGAAGAAGAAAGAUUAAAUUAUGAUGGCAGACUUGGCAAGAGGCUUUCUCAUUUGGAUUCGAUCCCGCAUAAGCCUUGGGUAAUUGGUGAUACACCUGAUCCAAAUGAUGCAACCUUAGACCAUGGAAGGCUUGCUGAGAGGUUGACAACAUAGGGGUUAGCUGAAUUACAAAUCCAGGGAGAUGGGAAUUGCCAGGUAUAUACCUGCAAGGCCAUUCUACAGUUUUGUUGCUGCCAAUGAGUGACAAUCAAAUCCAUUUGACUUACUUGACAGUUUCGAGCGCUCACAGAUCAGUCGUUAAAAAAUCCCGAUUACCACAAGUAUGUAAGAAAGCAGAUCAGGUCAUCAAACAGUUAAAACGUCACAAAAGCUCUAUGAAGGUUAUGUCCCCAUGAAGUACAAAAGCUACACGAAGAAGAUGAAAAAGCUGGGGGAGUGGGAGAUCACAUUAUUUUACAAGCAGCUGCAGACCAAUUAUGGCUGAGCUUUUGGAGUGAAGUUCACUAUAAUUCAUUGUAAUUAAUUGGUGAGGUUCCUUCAAGAGUACAUUGAAAAAGGCAUUGGCUAUUUUUGAAGCUUCCACUCAAAUUCUCCUUGCCAUCGGUGACGGAUGGCGAGCAUAAUAAGAAUAUGACUAUAUUGAGCGCUCGGUACAUUUUUUUUUUUAAUUGAAUAUCGUGCACUUGGUUAGUUGUUGAUGUCCAAAUAAAAUUUGAGGGUUGGCAUUCCAUAUCUACACUUUAAAAUAUGUCUGUAAACUAGCACCUUACAUUAAGAACCAUAUGGUAAAUUUGUUAGUUGUCAAGUCUUAUUAUUGAACGCUUAUACCUACUAUUGUUUAUAAACACAUUCCAUGUCGAAUUGCACUGAAUGGGUCGAAUCAUUCCGCAUA